rnacentral:rRNA from 1 species
UAGGGAAUCUUGCGCAAUGGGCGAAAGCCUGACGCAGCAACGCCGCGUGAGGGAUGACGGCCUUAGGGUUGUAAACCUCUUUCGGUAGGGACGAAAAUGACGGUACCUGCAGAAGAAGCUCCGGCUAACUACGUGCCAGCAGCCGCGGUAAUACGUAGGGAGCAAGCGUUGUCCGGAUUUAUUGGGCGUAAAGAGCUCGUAGGCGGUUCAGUAAGUCGAGGUGUCAAAUCUCCGGGCUCAACCCGGAGCC